UAUGUGUGAUCAUGUAUUUCCUAUGUCCCAAAGCCAGAAGAUCCCAGCAUGAUAGCUGCAGUCAUGAACUACCACAGUGAAAUCAAAAACACCCAACAAGUUCAAGAAAAAAGAAAGCGAUAUUAUGAAUAAUAUUGCUAAGAUGAUUCAUGUGCAGAUUUUUAUGUGGAUACGUGCUUUCAUUUCUCUCGGAUAUAUACCUGGGAGUAGAACUGCUCGGUCAUGUGCAACUCUGGAGUAGAAAUUUUGGUUUGCAAGUAAGAAUGCUUCUGUAUCAAGGAACACAAGAAUGUCCUACUGAAUUAGAAACCGAAACUGCUAGUGGACCAUUUUGUGCUUCUCAUAUAACUGAACCAACAAGUGAAAAGAUAUAGAGAUUGAUUAACUGACUGACUGAUUACUGUCUAAAGUGACCAAUUCUGUUCCCAAAGAAGAGUUAGACUGCUGCUACAGAAAGCAUUAGGAAGGAAUACUUCUGGAACCUAGAGUAUUCUCUGAGGUACCUCUGUCUCUUAGUAUUUCCAUGUCCAACAGUAAAAGUUAAUGGAAAACUAUAUAAACAAAAAAACUGUAAAACCACUGCGGAUCAAACCUAACCAGAAUAAAGGUUUUGUGUCACCCCACCAAGUAAAAAGCCUGGAUCAUCUCAGAACAAAGGAAAAAUGAAAUGGACAGAAAGAGAGCUUCAGCCAUGGUCUCAUGACCACUGUCAAGACUGCUGAUGUUGACUAACUUAACAAUUCAGUCAUUAAGUCAUAGGUAUUUGUAUAGAACUGUGACUGUCUACAGCCAUAACAUCCUGAAUGCGCCUGAUCCCAUCUGUACAGAACUGUGACUGAAUCUGAGAAGUGAUUACCAUUGCCCAGAGACAGAUAUCACGACUAUCUCCCAGAAAUGGGUAAAUUAAUUGAGACCCCUGUCUGUACACUUUGAAUAGCAAGAGAAUAUAUGCCUCUCAAGUGAAAGAAAUUUUUUGCUGUUCUAUGGAAAUUCAAGUGUGUGUAGAAUUGAAUGGAUAAGUAACUAAAGAAAUGCACUGUGCUAAUAUUAAGCUAUUGUCACCUGGCUUCAAACUCACUCUCUAUGCUCCAAUUUGUUAUUCUAGAACUCCUGGUGGGUGAGCGAGGGUACUAAAAGACUAAAGAAAAAAGAAAGAAUGUACUCUCUCCUGUUUGCACAAGUUUUCUACCCUGGAGAGACAACUGAUUCUAGUGGUACCAGUUGGCUCCACUAGUUUUUCCCACAGUCUUAGAACCAGCUUCACUUGGACCCUCUGAAAAAUCAGCACCUCCUAGCCAGUACUGUACCCUUCCUCAGAUGUCAAAAUUCAGAGCCAUAAUCCUCCAACAUCUUGAGGCAACACCACCACCGGCUGGCAGUAAACUUCUAAUGAGCUCUAUAGGGCCCCCUCCAAACUUUUAUAUUUUAGUAAUUCACCUUCAUUCCUUUGUUCCUUGCAUGGUAGGUCCUUCCUGAAGUUACUAUCUCUUCAACACUUCUUUGCCUUUUCAGUUCUUUAGUA